rnacentral:rRNA from 1 species
AUGCUGGGAGCCAUGGAUGAGAGGAUCCCGCCGCCCCCUUUCUUCCAGUACUCGCCGUCCGGCGUCCAUUCUUCCCCUCACCACCACAACCCCAUGAGGUCGUCUGCCUCCGAGAGGGAGAGGUAUAUUGCUGAGUUACUUGCUGAGAGGCAGAAACUAGUUCCCUUCCUGCAAGUUCUUCCAUUUUGUAACAGGCUUUUAAACCAAGAAAUUCUGCGGGCAUCUUCUUUGCCACCUAACCCAAAUUUUGUUGAACCUGAGAGAUUCGAUUAUGGUAGCCCAUUAAGAUUAGCUGGCCACCCUAUGAACGGUCAACCAAUGGAUAUGGAGGGAUGGACUGGAAUGCAUGCAGAGCAUAUGGGGAUACACCAUUCACCAUCCAUGGGCUGGAAUGGUGGUCCUGGAGUUGUUGGCGGCCCUGUUGUGAAGAAACUUGUCAGGAUGGAUGUUCCAGCAGAAAAGUAUCCAAAUUUCAACUUUGUUGGCCGUUUGUUGGGGCCACGAGGAAACUCCCUGAAAAGAGUUGAAGCUACAACACAAUGUAGAGUCUAUAUUCGUGGACGUGGUUCAGUGAAAGAUACUGUGAAGGAAAACAAGCUUAGAGCUAAGCCUGGCUAUGAGCACUUAAACGAACCACUGCAUGUGCUUAUCGAAGCUGAGUUCCCGGCGGAUAUCGUUGAUGCGCGACUAAACCAGGCUGUGGUCAUACUGGAAGAUCUUCUCAAACCAGUAGAUGAAUCCAUGGAUUACUUCAAGAAGCAACAGCUGAGAGAAUUGGCAAUACUGAAUGGCACUCUAAGGGAGGAGGAAAGCCCAAGCCCAAGCCCCCAUCUCAGUCCCAGUGUAUCACCGUUCAACUCCACCGGGAUGAAACGCGCGAAAACGGGCCGGUGA